AACGAACGCUGGCGGCAGGCCUAACACAUGCAAGUCGAGCGCACCCUUCGGGGUGAGCGGCGGACGGGUGAGUAACGCGUGGGAACGUGCCCUUCUCUGCGGAAUAGCCUCGGGAAACUGAGAGUAAUACCGCAUACGCCCUUUGGGGGAAAGAUUUAUCGGAGAAGGAUCGGCCCGCGUUGGAUUAGGUAGUUGGUGGGGUAAUGGCCCACCAAGCCGACGAUCCAUAGCUGGUUUGAGAGGAUGAUCAGCCAUACUGGGACUGAGACACGGCCCAGACUCCUACGGGAGGCAGCAGUGGGGAAUCUUAGACAAUGGGGGCAACCCUGAUCUAGCCAUGCCGCGUGAGUGAUGAAGGCCUUAGGGUUGUAAAGCUCUUUCAGCUGGGAAGAUAAUGACGGUACCAGCAGAAGAAGCCCCGGCUAACUCCGUG
rnacentral:rRNA from 1 species